ensembl:snRNA U6 U6 spliceosomal RNA
GUGCUUGCUUCGGCAGCACAUAUACUAAAACUGGAACGAUACAGAGAAGAUUAGCAUGGUCCCUGCGCAAGGAUGACAUGCAAAUUCGUGAAGCGCUCCAUAUUUUU